rnacentral:rRNA from 1 species
GAUGAACGCUGGCGGCGUGCCUAAUACAUGCAAGUCGAGCGAACAGAUGGGGAGCUUGCUCCUCUGACGUUAGCGGCGGACGGGUGAGUAACACGUGGAUAACCUACCUAUAAGACUGGGAUAACUUCGGGAAACCGGAGCUAAUACCGGAUAAUAUAUUGAACCGCAUGGUUCAAUAGUGAAAGACGGUUUUGCUGUCACUUAUAGAUGGAUCCGCGCCGCAUUAGCUAGUUGGUAAGGUAACGGCUUACCAAGGCAACGAUGCGUAGCCGACCUGAGAGGGUGAUCGGCCACACUGGAACUGAGACACGGUCCAGACUCCUACGGGAGGCAGCAGUAGGGAAUCUUCCGCAAUGGGCGAAAGCCUGACGGAGCAACGCCGCGUGAGUGAUGAAGGUCUUCGGAUCGUAAAACUCUGUUAUUAGGAAGAACAAAUGUGUAAGUAACUAUGCACGUCUUGACGGUACCUAAUCAGAAAGCCACGGCUAACUACGUG